rnacentral:rRNA from 1 species
AUUGAACGCUGGCGGCGGGCUUAACACAUGCAAGUCGAGCGGAGAUGAGGUGCUUGCACCUUAUCUUAGCGGCGGACGGGUGAGUAAUGCUUAGGAAUCUGCCUAUUAGUGGGGGACAACAUUCCGAAAGGAAUGCUAAUACCGCAUACGUCCUACGGGAGAAAGCAGGGGAUCUUCGGACCUUGCGCUAAUAGAUGAGCCUAAGUCGGAUUAGCUAGUUGGUGGGGUAAAGGCCUACCAAGGCGACGAUCUGUAGCGGGUCUGAGAGGAUGAUCCGCCACACUGGGACUGAGACACGGCCCAGACUCCUACGGGAGGCAGCAGUGGGGAAUAUUGGACAAUGGGGGGAACCCUGAUCCAGCCAUGCCGCGUGUGUGAAGAAGGCCUUAUGGUUGUAAAGCACUUUAAGCGAGGAGGAGGCUACUGAGACUAAUACUCUUGGAUAGUGGACGUUACUCGCAGAAUAAGCACCGGCUAACUCUGUGCCAGCCGCCGCCGUAACAC